CCAUAUUCAUGAAAAAUUGCCAAUAUAAUCUGGGAAGCACGGUCCCAAAGUUUCUACCGAACGCCAAGUCUCGUUCGACUAUUGGUUCAGCUUUUCUUUUG
rnacentral:ncRNA from 2 species